rnacentral:rRNA from 1 species
GCGGGUGAGUAACACGUGGGUAACCUGCCCAUAAGACUGGGAUAACUCCGGGAAACCGGGGCUAAUACCGGAUAACAUUGAACUGCAUGGUUCGAAUUGAAGGCGGCUUCGGCUGUCACUUAUGGAUGGACCCGCGUCGCAUUAGCUAGUUGGUGAGGUAACGGCUCACCAAGGCAACGAUGCGUAGCCGACCUGAGAGGGUGAUCGGCCACACUGGGACUGAGACACGGCCCAGACUCCUACGGGAGGCAGCAGUAGGGAAUCUUCCGCAAUGGACGAAAGUCUGACGGAGCAAACGCCGGCGUGAGUUGGAUGAAGCGCUUUNCGGGUCNGUAAAAACUCUAGUU